GCUUUAAUAGUUGAAUAACAACGGCGGUUUUUCAGGUCGCAGGUUUUGGGUAGACCAAAUUGAAGUA
rnacentral:tRNA from 1 species